rnacentral:rRNA from 1 species
AGCAGCCGCGGUAAUUCCAGCUCCAAUAGCGUAUAUUAAAGUUGUUGCAGUUAAAAAGCUCGUAGUUGAAUUUCGGGGUUCAUACGUUGGUCGGGCUUUUUGGUCUGUACUGGCGUAAUGGAUUCCUACCUUCUGAAUAACCGGCAUGCCAUUAAUUUGGUGCGCCGGGGAAGCAGGACUGUUACCUUGAAAAAAUUAGAGUGCUUAAAGCAGGCUAUCGCCUGAAUACAUUAGCAUGGAAUAAUGAAAUAGGACGGCAUGGUUCUAUUUUGUUGGUUUCUAGGAUCACCGUAAUGAUUAAUAGGGAUAGUUGGGGGCAUUAGUAUUCAAUUGUCAGAGGUGAAAUUCUUGGAUUUAUUGAAGACUAACUUCUGCGAAAGCAUUUGCCAAGGAUGUUUUCAUUAAUCAAGAACGAAAGUUAGGGGAUCGAAGACGAUCAGAUACCGUCGUAGUCUUAACCAUAAACUAUGCCGACUAGGGA